AUUGAACGCUGGCGGCAUGCCUUACACAUGCAAGUCGAACGGCAGCGCGGACUUCGGUCUGGCGGCGAGUGGCGAACGGGUGAGUAAUACAUCGGAACGUACCCUGUUGUGGGGGAUAACUAGUCGAAAGAUUAGCUAAUACCGCAUACGACCUGAGGGUGAAAGUGGGGGACCGCAAGGCCUCACGCAGCAGGAGCGGCCGAUGUCUGAUUAGCUAGUUGGUUAGGUAAAGGCCCACCAAGGCGACGAUCAGUAGCUAGUCUGAGAGGACGAUCAGCCACACUGGGACUGGGACACGGCCCAGACUCCUACGGGAGGCAGCAGUGGGGAAUUUUGGACAAUGGGGGAAACCCUGAUCCAGCAAUGCCGCGUGUGUGAAGAAGGCCUUCGGGUUGUAAAACACUUUUGUCAGGAAAGAAAACACGCUGGUUAAUACCUGGCGUGGAUGACGGUACCGGAAGAAUAAGCACCGGCUAACUACGUG
rnacentral:rRNA from 1 species